rnacentral:rRNA from 1 species
UAGUAACGCUGGCGGUAUGCCUCACACAUGCACGUCGAACGAAAGUUAUACUUUAGAUGGCGGACGGGUGAGUAUAUGAGAAUCUACCUUAUAAGAAGGGAAUAACAAUUGGAAACGAUUGCUAAUGCCCUAUAUGCUUAGCAGUGAAACAGAUGAUCUGCCUGAAGAUGAGCUCGCGCCUGAUUAGCUAGUUGGUAGAGUAAAAGCCUACCAAGGCAACGAUCAGUAGCUGGUUUGAGAGGACGAUCAGCCACACUGGGACUGAGACACGGCCCAGACUUAUACGGAAGGCAGCAGUGGGGAAUUUUCCGCAAUGAGCGAAAGCUUGACGGAGCAAUACCGCGUGAGGGAAGAAUGCCUGUGGGUUGUAAACCUCUUUUUUUAGGGAAGAAAAUAUGACGGUACCUAAAGAAUAAGCAUCGGCUAACUCCGUGCCAGCAGACGAGGUAAUACGGGGGAUGCAAGCGUUAUCCGGAAUAACUGGGCGUAAAGCGUCUGCAGGUGGCUUACCAAGUCUGCUAGUUAAUAUUAGAGCUCAAAUCUGAGUAAGCAGUGGAAACUGUUAGGCCUAGAGUAUGGUAUGGGUAAAGGGAACUCCCAGUGUAACGGUGAAAUGCGUAGAUAUUGGGAAGAACACAGAACAAACAGGCUUUACUACACA